rnacentral:rRNA from 1 species
AGAGUUUGAUCCUGGCUCAGAUUGAACGCUGGCGGCAUGCCUUACACAUGCAAGUCGAACGGUAGCGGGCCUUCGGGUGCCGACGAGUGGCGAACGGGUGAGUAAUGUAUCGGAACGUACCAUUGAGUGGGGGAUAACGUAGCGAAAGUUACGCUAAUACCGCAUAUUCUCUCCGGAGGAAAGCAGGGGACCGCAAGGCCUUGCGCUCUUUGAGCGGCCGAUAUCAGAUUAGCUAGUUGGUGAGGUAAAGGCUCACCAAGGCGACGAUCUGUAGCGGGUCUGAGAGGAUGAUCCGCCACACUGGAACUGAGACACGGUCCAGACUCCUACGGGAGGCAGCAGUGGGGAAUUUUGGACAAUGGGGGCAACCCUGAUCCAGCCAUGCCGCGUGAGUGAAGAAGGCCUUCGGGUUGUAAAGCUCUUUCGGCCGGGAAGAAAUCGCAUGGGCUAAUACCCUGUGCGGAUGACGGUACCGGCAUAAGAAGCACCGGCUAACUACGUGCCAGCAGCCGCGGUAAUACGUAGGGUGCGAGCGUUAAUCGGAAUUACUGGGCGUAAAGCGUGCGCAGGCGGUUUUGUAAGACAGGCGUGAAAUCCCCGGGCUCAACCUGGGAACUGCGUUUGUGACUGCAAGGCUAGAGUACGGCAGAGGGGGGUGGAAUUCCACGUGUAGCAGUGAAAUGCGUAGAGAUGUGGAGGAACACCAAUGGCGAAGGCAGCCCCCUGGGUCGAUACUGACGCUCAUGCACGAAAGCGUGGGUAGCAAACAGGAUUAGAUACCCUGGUAGUCCACGCCCUAAACGAUGUCAACUAGGUGUUGGGUGGGUAAAACCAUUUAGUACCGGAGCUAACGCGUGAAGUUGACCGCCUGGGGAGUACGGCCGCAAGGUUAAAACUCAAAGGAAUUGACGG